GACGUACCGGGAAAAUCUUAUCUGAUUCAGGAUCAAUUCAUCGGUUACACUCCCCUGUCACCAGUGAUUCUUUUUUGCUGACAUUCUGAAAAAGUAUUGUGUAGUCCCUGUGUAAGUGUUGACUCUCAACUUGCACAUGUGAUUUUUUAACACUCCCCGGACUUCUGCAAAAAACAAUUAUUCAGUUCACUGAUUAAGAUGGAAGGGCAAGAACAUGAAAGAUAAAGGAGAAACUAUAAACAGAAGAAAUUAUCAACAAAAUAAGAUUUACAGAGGUCAACAAAGCCUAAAUGGUCAGACAUCUCGAUUUUCAUGGUCAUCAUUCACAGAUCAAUACCGAAUGGAAAACUUAAAGCUGGUAUUUUUCUCCAUAGUGUGACUUUUUUAUUAAUUUGAAAUGGAACAUGUUUUUUCCUACAUUUAUUUGGAAGAAGAAAUUUCAACAUGAUGACUAUAAACAAAAAAGAGUCAUAUCAUCACAAUCAUUGAUGCACAAGAACUUGAUCAUAUAAAUACAACAAUGUAAUUAUCAAUUGAAAAAUGGAAUGAAUGAACUAGAUAUUAGAA